AUUUUAUACGCACCACCAUCAGAUUAUCGGAACUGCCGCCAGUACCUUCUUUCCCCCUUUUUAGAUCUAGGUUUAUUGUUCGGUUAAGGUUUAUCGGAACCGCAGGCACAGAGAGACAGGCUAUAUACCCGUAACCGGACACAAAAGACAAAUUUGUCAGAAAAACAAGGGAGGACAGCAGUUCUCUAUUUACAACUGCCAUAUCUGCUAAAGAGGAAAAUCAGAUGAUGAUAGCAUACCAAUUCAAAUGCUUCACAAACGAAGCACGGCUACUAAACAAAAUGCAUUGAAGAAGAAGAAAAUUUGAAGAGAAAAAAAAUAACCAGUAGAUGUACUACAUUACCCAGAUGAAAUGUAAUGUAUUUUAUUAUAUUCUUAUGUUAAGUUGAUAGAAUUUUAAAUAUGUAAAAUGUUCCCGUGUAUUGCGUGUGUUAAAUGAUUUGUAUUGAAUAUUUUUUGGAAUU